CCUAAUACCCCUUCCUCCUAACUGCACAACAGCAACUAUGUAAGAUGAGUUGGACUACAAGUGAGAAACUGGCUCAAAGUAACCCAGCCAGCUUUCAUGCUUAAGGUGAGACUAGAACUCACAGUCUCCUGUUUUCGAACCUUGUGCCUUAACCACUAGAACAAACUGGCUCUCUUGAAACUUGAAAGAACAAAUGUAGGACACAACUUGAAGACUGUCCCAAGCCAAAAACUGUAGGGAAUAGGGACUUCCGGCGGUGAUGUCAAUGUGAAUGGAGUGAAGGAACGGUGCUCUGUUCCCGAAGCCUAAAAAGGCCAGGAAGCCUAAAAAGGCACUAUCAAUCCUGGAGAGAUUGAUAGCAAAAAAGGGGGAUCUUGGAGGACCUUGUGGGGAAAGGCAAUUCCCCCGAAGGGAGAACUGAUUCCGGCAGGGAAGAAACUACCAUUUUGGCUGGCCCAAAGCACUGACAGCCACGGAGUAGGAAGCAAAGAUUGUGAAAGCAACAUAACAGCAAUGAUAGGAGAGAAAACCCCAAAAAGGAGGUACAAUUUUAAUCUUAUGGUCAAGAUUCUUUAGAAUGUCUUUGCUAUUUUUUUCCCCACGUUUCUCAGAAAUAUUGAGCAGGGUUUUUUCCCUGAAAUUGUUUUAUUUUCUUUAUUCCUUAACAACCCUCCAACUCUCUUGGCAGUUGAGUUGUGUGAUCCAAAAAGUUCCAUGGGAGAUGUUUCUUCAGAAUAAGCAGAAGAAACAAUAGAGAUAAAAGUGUUUUGAGAAAGGAAUGGAUAAUGACAUUUUCUGGAACUCUUCAGCUACUUUGUGAUUAAAACACUUGCUAGAUUUUACUUCUCACAUUCUGUUUCCAUGGAUUGGAUCCAAAAAUAAUGGAUGGAAAGUUAUUAAAGCCGAAAUAUGUGACAGGUCCAGAAGCAACUCCAGAGCAACCAAAUCAACUGCAUGCUGAGUCUCUGCCAAACAACCAGAUGCUGUUAUUUUAAAAAUAUCUUCCACAGCUGAGUAUCCGCGCAAUCUGACUGCCAUCAAAAUGAGGAACAGGAAUUGGCACAUGGAAGAGCAAGGAGAUGAUUGCUGCCUUUUCUUUUCGGUUCAAAGCUUUCCGCAGGGAAUCCUAAAGAAGGGAGAGGACACAGGAUUUAUUCACUUCAUCAUUUGUAGAUGGGGUGGUCUCUUGAAGGAGCUGGAUCAAAUAUAUGUACAUGGACUGGGCAGAAGAUUUUUUUUUAAUUGUAGCUCAGGGUUGAAAUGAGGGGUCCUUGGUGCUCUCUGAGCUUGCUUGUUUUCUUGCAGACGUUUCAUUACCCAAACUAGGUAACGUCAUCAGUUGAUUUUUAUGUUAUCAUUAACACUGAUGUAGGAACUUUGUUGCCCUACACAAUCCACUGACCUAAAGAAUAAAAUAACAGAGUUGGAAGGGACCUUGGAAGUCUUCUAGUCCAACCCCCUGCUUAGGCAGGAAACCCUAUAACACUUCAGACAAAUGGUUAUCCAAUCUCUUCUUAAAAACUUCCAGUGUUGGAGCAUAACUUCCUACGAUUCUUUCAAGAAGAUUCAUAUCAGUUUUCUUGUGUUGAAGAACUUGUUCAAUUAGGCCUUAUAUACACUGAAAAUUACAGCUAGCUUACCUCUGGAAAGUCAGACUCCAUAUGGAUGGUAUUAGGUUGUGAGGUCAGGAAGUGAGCAUUCUGUCAGGAUGUUUUGGAGUUGUCCUGCUAAAAUAUCUGAAGAACACCUAAUAUAAACUGCAAAUUCCAUUUGCUUUGGGAAUUCCCUCUGUAACAUUAAGGCUCUGUAACAUUAAAGGACAGUCCUUAUGACUGUUUGUUUAAAGAUGCUUCAAAGUUACAAUGGCUUCAGAAAAAGUGAUGUAUGACCUAUCCUCAAAAUUAUGACAUUAUACUAUCCCCGCAGUCACAUAAUCACAAUUUGGCAACUGAUUUAUUCACAUGGGUUGCAGUGUCUUGUGGUCAUGUGAUUGCAGUUUGUCACCUCACCAGCUGAGUUCCAAAAAAGCAAAAUCCAUUGAGGAUUUUGCUAGAUUUCAAUAGCUAUGUGAUUCGUUUAACAACCAUGUAAUUUUCUUAACAGCCAUGGUAAAAAUAGUUCUAAAAUCAGAUCCCAUCCUCUGAUAACUUGCUUAACAAUCGCAUCUCUUAGUGACCAAAAUUCUGAUUCUAGUUGUAGUCAUAAGUCAAGGACAACCUGUAGGAGUGAUCAGUUAUGCAAAAUCCCUUAAAAUGAAUUAAAAUGUUCCUGAAUAACUUUCUGAAAUGUAUAUUUAGUCUAGGGUGUAUUCAGAGUAUAGAAAUAGUCUUAACCUUUCUCCCAUGUAGCUGGUUUCAGAAUAUUCACAAUCUAUUCCAACAAUGUGCAAAUUUUAAAAUAUGUUGGGUGGGAUUAUUCUUUUAAAUUCCCAUGGUGGUGGUUGUACUGUUCAUUAAUUACUAUUUUUAAGAUAUAUUAAGAUAAUGUAUUAAUUAUUACACAUUUCUAUAGCACAAUUUAUUCAUUAUUGUUAUCUAUGAAUUAACCUUUGUAGCGUAAGUGGCUUGAGAAAAGGGUGAAAAUAUCAUUGUAUUCAUCAUGGUGGUCAGGAUGACAGACAGACUGCUGACAAAAACAAUAAUCACAGAUGUAGAAAAGCAUUUUCUGACUGGGGAAUUCUGGGAGUUGACGUCCACAGAACUUAAAGUUCUCAAGUUUGAACUCUCCUGGAAUAAAACUUCCAUUCCUAUCUGCCUUAUCCUACCUAAUAUCAUUUCUCUUCUUCAGCUCUAAACACUCCAUUGAUAGUUGCUUCUUUUCUUGACUUCUUUAAAGGGAAGAUGACACCAUUUCCACAGUGUGCUUCACUAGAUCAGCAGAAAGUUGUGUACGUUGAGUGGACAUCAGAAAAGAGUCCAGUCAACUAGUCCUUUCAACUAAGCUCUAGGAAGUUAAAUUUAACCCAGAACAGAUCCAGUCAUGCGCAGGAUUAAAUUAACUCUACCGCUAGUCAUGUGGAAACACCUAAACCCAGCCAGAUGACUCAUUUUGCAUAUAUAACCCUCUAAGAAAAAGAGCAGGAAAGAGUAGCUGAAAAAUCGAAGCCCUUCAUUAUUGAAUGUAUUGCUAACACAAAGAGAAAAAAUACACCUCCUAAACACUGAGUAGCUGUAGUGGCCACUAUAUAUUUACUUUUCCCUAUCCAGGCAAACAGGAAGGGAUUAGUGCCAUAAAAAUGUUUACAUGUAUUCUCACAUCAAAAAGGUCAUGUGAUGGAGGCAUUUUUUGAAAAAUUUCUAGUAGGCUCUGAAUCCCAAAACAGGAAGGUUUAAUGUGAUUUGGUCGUGGGUUGCUCCCAGUUUGGUCCAGUUCUUGCAAACCGGUAGUAAUGGUGGUGGGAGGCUCUGCUCAUCUGCCCGGAUGUCAUCAUGGAUGAUCUAUGCAUGAGUAGAAGCUUCUGCGCAUGUGCAGAAGCGCGCGCACUCCCACUGAGAACCAGUACUAAAGGUAAGUAGAACCCACCCCUGAAGCAGAAUCAUCAGUAAAGUGAAGCACUCUUGAUUCCCGAGAAAUAAGUUAGAAAGGGACACAAACAAAGGAAAAACAUUAACAAAAUUAUAAAUGCAUAAUAAUUGUGCCACAAAGGACUGACAAAGUAACUGGGUAGAGGAAGGAAGCAGGAGACCCUGAAACUCAUAUGUCCAAGUAGAACUCUGGUGGCAAAUCUUGGGGUGAGGAACCAAUGAACAGGAUCUGCAGGAUGACCCAAUCCAGAGAAGAAAGAGCAGCUGACCAAGCAGUGUAUUUGAGGAAAAAAUGAUCCCAAACCAGAGAAAUCUAUGAUUGUAUGGAGUAUUAGAUCUUGUGAAUCCGUGAUAAGAAAGAAGCAGUCUGGGAAUUGAUCUAGAAUAAUUGAAGGAUGAACCGGUGUGUCGAGAGUGUGCUUUUAUUUUGCUUGCCAAAUAAUAAUGGUUUGCUCACCAUAGAACAAAUUUCUGUUGGAACAUAAAAUUGUGGCUUCAAAAGAAUAUUUAAUGUUCUGCGCUAACACCUCGAAUCUGCCUUGUAUUGGCUUCUUUGUCUUUAACAUUUAUGGAAUGGGUGUCACUAUAAUUUUCAUAGAAGAUAUUUUUUGGACCAGAAUCUUGUUUUAUGAGAAUGUUCAGCAUGAAUCUCCUGUUUUAUUUAGCUUAAAAUAGUACUGGAAAGUCCAGAUAGGCCCCAGUCAGAGGUGGGUUUUAGCAGUUUCUGACCAGUUCUGGAGAACUGGUAGCAGAAAUUUUGAGUAGUUUGAAGAACCGGUAGUAAAAAUUCUGACUAGCCCUGCCCCCAUCUAUUCUCUGCCUCCUGAGUCCCAGUUGAAAUACUGAUUUUACAAUAUCCUUCCCCUGGACUGGGGUGGGAAUGGAGAUUUUACAGUAUCCUUCCCCAGCCACACCCACCAAGCCAUGCCACACCCACCAAGGCACACCCACAGAACCGGUUGUAAAAAAAUUUGAAAUCCACCACUGGCCCCAAUGUACCCGAACACAAUUGCAUUGUGUUCAGAACACGCAGGAAUCUAAAUAAAGUGAUGAAUUCUAUAUUUGAGAAUAUUGAAAUGUAGAAUAUGCUUUUUUUUAAUGAAACAUGUUUGAAUAUACAAAAAUACAGAAGUGUUUUGUGUGCAUGUAGGUAUGUACCGGUAUAAACACAUUGCAUACACACACAGUGAGAGAUCCAUCCAUUCAUGGACAGGUUGCUGGGUAGGCUGAAUGCCACCACAUGUUUACUGGAUCCGUGCCCCUCCUGGUUAGUACUGGCUACUCAGGAGGUGACACGAGCCUGGCUCCAGGGGAUUACAAAUGCUUCUUUGUGGGAGGGGGUCUUUCCCGCUGCCUUGAAAGAGGCGGUGGUGAGACCCCUCCUCAAGAAGCCUUCCCUGGUCCCAGCUGUUUAGGGAAUUACCGGCCAGUCUCCAAUCUUACUUCACGGCGAAGGUUGUAGAGAGUGCGGUGGCAUGUCAGCUACCCCAGUACCUGGAUGAAGCUGUCUAUCUAGACCCGUUCCAGUCCGGCUUCCGGCCCGGAUACAGUAUGGAGAUAGCUUUGGUCGCACUGGUGGAUGAUCUCUGGAGGGCCAGGGAUAAGGGUUACUCCUCUGCCCUGGUCCUAUUAGACCUCUCAGCGGCUUUUGAUACCAUUUACCAUGGUAUCCUGCUGGAUUGGAGGGGUUGGGAGUGGGAGGCACCGUUUAUCGGUGGUUCUCCUCCUACCUGUCUGACCGGUCACAGACGGUGUUGACAGGGGGGCAGAGAUCGACUCCAAGGUGCCUCAAGUGUGGGGUGCCGCAGGGGUCGAUUCUCUCACCCCUCCUGUUCAACAUCUAUAUGAAGCCGCUGGGUGAGAUCAUCAGUGGCUUUGGGGUGAGAUACCAACUGUACGCUGAUGACACUCAACUGUACUUUUCCACCCCGGACCACCCCAGUGAAGCUGUCGAAGUACUGUCCUGGUGUGUGGAAGCCGUACGGGUCUGGACGGGGAGGAACAGGCUCAAACUUAAUCCCUCCAAGACGGAGUGGCUGUGGAUGCCGGCACCUCGGUACAGUCAGCUGCAGAUGCGGCUGUCUAUCGGGGGUGUCAUUGGCCCCGAUGGAGAAGGUACGCAACUUGGGCGUGCUCCUGGAUGAUUGGUUGUCCUUUGAAGAUCAUUUGGCGACCAUCUCCAGGAGAGCUUUCUAUCAGGUUUGCCUGAUCCGCCAGUUGUGUCCCUUCCUGGACCGGGAUGCCUUAUGCACGGUCACUCAUGCUCUCGUUACCUCUUGCCUGGACUAUUGCAAUGCUGUCUACAUGGGGCUCCCCUUGAAAAGCACCUGGAGACUUCAGCUAGUCCAGAACGCGGCUGCGCGGGUUAUUGAGGGAGCGGUUCGGAGCUCCCACAUAACACCUAUCCUGCGCAGACUGCACUGGCUACCUGUUGUUUUCCGGGUGCGCUUCAAGGUAUUGGUUACCACCUUUAAAGCGCUCCAUGGCUUAGGACCGGGCUAUCUACGGGACCGUCUACUGCCGGCCUCUAUCUCCCAUUGUCCGGUGCGUUCCCACAGAGAGGGACUCCUCAGGGUGCCGUCAGCCAAACAGUGUCGACUGGCGGCCCCCAGGGGGAGGGCCUUCUCUGUGGGGGCUCCGACCCUGUGGAACGAACUUCCCCUUGGGCUUCGACAACUACCUGACGUUAGGACCUUUCGGCGUGAACUUAAAACCUAUUUAUUUCAUAUGGCUGGACUAGCUUGAUUUUUACCUUUAAUUUUAAUUGAAUUUGAUGGGUUUUUAAAUUUUUGU